ACGGAGAGUGCAAACGUUGUUCGGAUUCACUGGGCGUAAAGGGCACGUAGGCGGCUCGGCAAAUCGGUCGUGGAAUCCCGACGCUUACCGUCGGAACGGCGGCCGAAAAUACCGGGCUCGAGGGCGUGAGGGGUCACUGGAACUCCUGGUGAAGCGGUGAAAUGCGUAGAUAUCUGGAGGAACACCGGUGGCGAAGGCGGCAUCCUGGACCAAUACUGACGCUGAGGAGCGAAAGCCAGGGGAGCAAACGGGA
rnacentral:rRNA from 1 species